rnacentral:rRNA from 1 species
AACGAACGCUGGCGGCAUGCCUAACACAUGCAAGUCGAACGAAGGCUUCGGCCUUAGUGGCGCACGGGUGCGUAACGCGUGGGAAUCUACCCUUAGGUACGGAAUAACUCAGGGAACCUUGUGCUAAUACCGUAUAAUGUCUUCGGCCCAAAGAUUUAUCGCCUGUGGAUGAGCCCGCGUUGGAUUAGCUUGUUGGUGGGGUAAUGGCCUACCAAGGCGAAGAUCCAUCGCUGGUCUGAGAGGAUGAUCAGCCACACUGGGACUGAGACACGGCCCAGACGCCUACGGGAGGCAGCAGUGGGGAAUAUUGGACAAUGGGCUAAAGCCUGAUCCAGCAAUGCCGCGUGAGUGAUUAAGGCCUUAGGGUUGUAAUGCUCUUUUACCCGGGAUGAUAAUGACAGUACCGGGAGAAUAAGCUCCGGCUAACUCCGUGCCAGCAGCCGCCGUAAUAC